rnacentral:rRNA from 1 species
AUGGCGACAGGAGUUGGGGAGGCCAGGGGGGAGACGGUGCUGGUCACCGGCGCCAGCGGCUUCAUCGGCUCCUGGACCGUGCGCCUCCUCCUCGCCCGCGGCUACGCCGUCCACGCCGCCGUCCUCAACCCCGAUGACAAGGCCGAGACGGAGCACCUCCUGGCGCUCGCCGGCGGCGACGAGGCCCGCGUCCGCUUCUUCCCGUGCGACCUCCUCGACGGCGCCGCCAUGCUCGCCGCCGCGCGCGGCUGCUCCGGCGUCUUCCACCUCGCCUCGCCCUGCACCGUCGACCGCGUCCUCGACCCCCAGAAGGAGCUGGUGGUGCCGGCCGUGGAGGGGACGCUCAACGUGCUGCGCGCCGCCAAGGACGCCGGGGGGGUGCGCCGGGUGGUGGUGACCUCGUCCGUCUCCGCCGUCGUGCCCUGCCCCGGGUGGCCCGCCGGCGAGGUCCUCGACGAGCGCUGCUGGACCGACAUAGACUACUGCGACAAGAACGGGGUCUGGUACCCUGCUUCAAAGACACUGGCUGAGAAGGCAGCGUGGAAGUUUGCAGAGGAGAAUGGACUGGAUGUGGUUGUGGUCAAUCCAGGGACAGUUUUAGGCCCGAUGAUUCCACCGAGGAUCAAUGCUAGCAUGACCAUGUUUCUCCGCUUGCUUGAAGGCUGCACCGAGGAGUACAAGGAUUUCUUCAUCGGGCCAGUCCACGUGGAAGACGUCGCGUUAGCCCAUAUCACGCUGUUCGAGAACCCAUCUGCAUCCGGGAGGCACCUCUGCGUGGAGCCCAUCUGUCACUGGAGCGAUUUCGCGUCCAAAGUCGCCGAGCUCUACCCCGACUACAAAGUCCCAAAGUUCCGUGAGGACACGCAGCCUGGGCUGGUGAGAGCGGAGGCGGUGCCGAAGAAGCUGAUGGCGCUGGGCCUGCAGUUCACUCCGUUGGAGAAGAUCAUCAGGGACGCCGUGGAGAGCCUCCGGAGCAGAGGGUGCAUCGCCUGA